GUGGGGAAUUUUGGACAAUGGGCGCAAGUCUGAUCCAGCAAUGCCGCGUGCAGGAAGAAGGCCUUCGGGUUGUAAACUGCUUUUGUACGGAACGAAACGGUCCUGGUUAAUACCUGGGGCUAAUGACGGUACCGUAAGAAUAAGCACCGGCUAACUACGUGCCAGCAGCCGCGGUAAUACGUAGGGUGCAAGCGUUAAUCGGAAUUACUGGGCGUAAAGCGUGCGCAGGCGGUUUUGUAAGACAGACGUGAAAUCCCCGGGCUCAACCUGGGAAUGGCGUUUGUGACUGCAAAGCUGGAGUGCGGCAGAGGGGGAUGGAAUUCCGCGUGUAGCAGUGAAAUGCGUAGAUAUGCGGAGGAACACCGAUGGCGAAGGCAAUCCCCUGGGCCUGCACUGACGCUCAUGCACGAAAGCGUGGGGAGCAAACAGGAUUAGAAACCCGGGUAGUCC
rnacentral:rRNA from 1 species